AACUUUUAGCAAUGUAUCACUUGGUUCCGGCAUCGAUUAAGAACGCAGCGAAAUGCGAUAACUAAUGUGAAUUGCAGAAUUCAGUGAAUCAUCGAGUCUUUGAACGCACAUUGCGCCCCCUGGUAUUCCGGGGGGCAUGCCUGUCCGAGCGUCAUUGCUGCCCUCAAGCACGGCUUGUGUGUUGGGCUCCGUCCCCCCGGGGACGGGCCCGAAAGGCAGCGGCGGCACCGAGUCCGGUCCUCGAGCGUAUGGGGCUUUGUCACCCGCUCUGUAGGCCCGGCCGGCGCCAGCCGACAACCCAUCAUCCUUUUCAGGUUGACCUCGGAUCAGGUAGGGAUACCCGCUGAACUUAAGCAUAUCAAUAAGCGGAGGCU
rnacentral:misc_RNA from 1 species